AUUAUUUGUUUUAGCCUUGCCAUAUAUGUACUUAACAUCACAACAAUUGUAACAUGUUUUUGCUGCAGUAGCAGUCAUAUAGGGACAGAAGUGAAUGUGUUCUUUGAGUGGGGUUUGCCACAACAGGAUAAUUCAGAUUUGACCAACUGUCAGUUACAGAAAUGUUUAUUAAAUACCUUAUCAGACUUAAAACAUGUAUGGCACUCACUGUACUAUGCUUUUUGGCAAACCACACAUAAAUGCUAUAAGGAGCAUUUAAACAGCAAGGCAGGAAGCUGCUGCACCACUCAACUCAUCAAUCUAAAGUGACAAGCAUGUUUUACUUGUGGCCCCAUUCCAAUUAGUGAUGCCAGAGCAGGAUUCCAUCAACUGUUAAAAUGAAAACACCUGCUGUGAAAUCAUUAAUUUGUGUAACAAUUUAAAUGUAGAGAAAGCAGUGCAGUUACAGCUUUCCACCCUGAGGUUCAAUGACCAUUUGCCCUUUAUAUGCAGUAAGCUAAAUCAGCCCACCAAAACUACAUGUGUAUAUUUUUGAUCCAGGUUCUUUACUAAUACUGUUCUAUAUUGAUGCUGUUUCUCAUCAUCCUCAAAAGCCUGUAUGUCCUGAGUCCAGAAAGAAGCAUAAAAUGAAACAUAAUCUCAAAAGCAUUCCAGUUUGAUACCUUAAACAUACCUCUCUCAGUCCAGGUCAGCAAUGAUAAUGAACCUUAAGAAGAGAAGUGCUAAAAUCCCAGCAUAUGUUCCUGCUCUGCUCUGAUAGAUUUCAUGUAGGCCUGGGUUCAGUUCUUCCAUUCACCGUUUGCAGAUACUGACGCCUAAGCUGCAGUUUUUGCAAAACUGCUUGGACAACAACCAAGUGGAUGGAGGUCACUGAAUCAGAGCCAUUAGGAUAGUGUUUCAAGUGCCCCAUCUUUGCAUAAAAUGGUAGAGGAUCAUGCCAGCAUAGCCGACUCAGAUACACAUCAUUUGUUGUCAAACAAUGUCUCAUUUUCUUCUUUUAGAAAGUAAAUCAAGGAGUUAUGCAUAAAUGAUAUUUUGUUUUGUACAAAUAUCUCAGUGUAUUCCAGACUCUCUGGCUUUUCUCUGUACAUUCUGGUGCUUUGGUGGUGAGCUGCUUGUGACAACUUGACAAGAUGUCACAUUGUUUAGCAUUGUUUGUACAUCUUCUUAGUUUUGUGUGUACCAGCUCAAUCGUGCUUCUCAGAAUGUGUGGUUAUGUGCCACCAGCGACGUUCUGCAGCUACUCAGACACCUUUGUAAUCAUUGUGUACUGAACAAGACCUCAUCCACGUCAAAAGAUACUAAGCAAACUGUAGGAAUCACUCAAUAGAUUAGCACUUAUUCUUGGCCCAUGAGCAACUUUGGACUUUCAUCUUUACAUUUCUAGAAGUGCAAUUUUUUUAGUCUGUAAAAUGACUGAUGGAUUACUCAGUGUUAGUCAUGAUUUGUGAUAGAAACAUUUCUUGUUCAGAGGUAUCAUCACAGGAUAGGUACUUGUGGUUUGUAGAAAUAUUUCCACUGUGUUACCAUCAUGUGAAAAUAUCAAAACUCUCAAGAUGUCUGUGGAAACUACUCUUCUGUAAAUAAACAUCAAAGAAAGAA